rnacentral:tRNA from 1 species
UCGAAAUAGCUCAGUUGGGAGAGCGUUAGACUUUAGAUCGAAAGAUCCUUGGUUCGAUCCCGACCGAA